rnacentral:rRNA from 1 species
AACGAACGCUGGCGGCAUGCCUAACACAUGCAAGUCGAACGAGACCUUCGGGUCUAGUGGCGCACGGGUGCGUAACGCGUGGGAACCUGCCCUUAGGUUCGGAAUAACUCCCCGAAAGGGGUGCUAAUACCGGAUAAUGUCUUCGGACCAAAGAUUUAUCGCCUUUGGCUGGGCCCGCGUUGGAUUAGCUGGUUGGUAGGGUAAAAGCCUACCAAGGCGACGAUCCAUAGCUGGUGUGAGAGGAUGAUCAGCCACACUGGGACUGCGACCCGGCCCAGACUGCUACGGGAGGGUGCAGUGUGUAAUAUAGGACACUGGGCCAAGGCCUGACCCCGCCGCGCCCGGUGAGUGAUGAUGCCCUUAGUGUUGUAAAGCUCUUUUACCCGGGAUGAUAAUGACGGUACCGGGUGAAUAAGCUCCGGCUAACUACGUG